UACGUAGGGGGCAAGCGUUGUCCGGAAUUAUUGGGCGUAAAGCGCGCGCAGGCGGUUAAUUAAGUUGGGUGUUUAAGCCCGGGGCUCAACCCCGGUUCGCAUCCAAAACUGGUUGACUUGAGUGUAGGAGAGGAAAGUGGAAUUCCACGUGUAGCGGUGAAAUGCGUAGAGAUGUGGAGGAACACCAGUGGCGAAGGCGACUUUCUGGCCUAUAACUGACGCUGAGGCGCGAAAGCGUGGGGAGCAAACAGGAUUAGAUACCCUGGUAGUCCACGCCGUAAACGAUGCAUACUAGGUGUUGGGGAUUCGAUUCCUCGGUGCCGAAGUUAACACAGUAAGUAUGCCGCCUGGGGAGUACGCUCGCAAGAGUGAA
rnacentral:rRNA from 1 species